rnacentral:lncRNA from 1 species
AUGGCCUGUAUCUGCUUCCUGAUUACAGGACCUUGUGACUCUGCCUUAGGCGCUGACACACCAGGUGAACUUUCUAGAAACGCUAUAGCUAACCUGGGAGAGCACUCACUGCUGAAGUGGGGUGCGAAACCAUCUCCCCCUACAUUGCUGAUGGAGAUGGAAACUGCACAGCAGCUUUGGACAAGUGUGUCUCUAGGUACCAAACAAACAUCGCUAUGUGACCCUGUCAUCACAUCCCCAGGCAUUCAUGACCCCUCAGAAACUGGUUGGAAGUUUUGUAAAUUUGGUGCAAUCUGGAACCGUUUUGUAAGAGAAGCCUCAAUUAAGGAAAUGCCUCCAUCAGACUGGCCUUUGGGCAAGCCUGGGAGGCAUCUCUUGGUUGACGGUUGAUGUGGGAGGGGUCAGCACGUUGAGGAUGGUGCCACCCCUGGGCAGGUGGUCCUGGGGGUGUUUAAGAAAGCUAACUGAGCAAGCCAGGAAGCCACGUUCCUCUGUGACCUCUGCUUCAGCCCCUGCCUUGAGUUCCUGAGUUGGCAUCCCUCAUGGCUGAAUUGCUAUCAGAACAUGCAAGCCAAAUAAAUCCUUUCCUCAAGUUGCUUUUGGUCAUGGUGUUUAUCACAGCAAUAGACAGCAACCAGAAAUGAGCAGUUUUCUGUAACGACCCCCAACUAGAGAUAAUCUCAACAGGUACAUGAAUGGUUAAAUGGAUGGGAGUUUGUCCAUACUACUGAAUACUACCCAGCAAUAAAAAAGAAACAAGAUAGCAAUCUAAAUACAUCCCCAAGCCUAAGUGAAAAGGGAAACCAAACCAAAACAAAAGCCUACCUCAAAAGGUCACACACCCAAGUGAUGUUAUUGAUGUAACCUUGUCCAAACAACAGAUUUAUCAAUAUGGAGAAGAUGAGUGCUGGCUUCGGGGCUCUGGGUGGUGGGAGGGGCCGCUAUAACUCUGGAGUGGGAUCCAGGUCUGUGAUGGUGCAGAUGCCAGGGGCCGCUAUAACUCUGGAGUGGG